UACCAGCCCCCUGAGUGGUAAAGACGAUUAUUUGGCUUAAAGCGUCCGUAGCCGGCUUAGUGAGUCUCUUGUUAAAUCCAAUGAUUCAAUCAUUGAACUGCAAGAGAUACUACUAUGCUAGAGGACGGGAGAGGUCGACGGUAGUCCAAGGGUAGGGGUGAAAUCCUAUAAUCCUUGGAGGACCACCAGUGGCGAAGGCGGUCGACUAGAACGUGCCUGACGGUGAGGGACGAAAGCUGGGGGAGCGAACCGGAUUAGAUACCCGGGUAGUCCCAGCUGUAAACGAUGCGGGCUAGGUGUAGGGGCAGCUACGAGCUGCUCCUGUGCCGCAGAGAAAUUGUUAAGCCCGCCGCCUGGGGAGUACGAUCGCAAGAUUGAAACUUAAAGGAAUUGGCGGGGGAGCACCACGAAGGGGUGAAGGCUGCGGUUU
rnacentral:rRNA from 1 species